rnacentral:tRNA from 4 species
GCGCCCGUAGCUCAGUUGGAUAGAGCAUCGGACUUCUAAUCCGAGGGUCAGGGGUUCGAAUCCCUUCGGGCGUG